rnacentral:rRNA from 1 species
UACGUAGGGGCCAAGCGUUGUCCGGAUUUAUUGGGCGUAAAGAGCUCGUAGGCGGUGUGUCGCGUCGGCCGUGAAAACCUGCAGCUUAACUGUGGGCGUGCGGUCGAUACGGGCAUCACUGGAGUUCGGCAGGGGAGACUGGAAUUCCUGGUGUAGCGGUGAAAUGCGCAGAUAUCAGGAGGAACACCGGUGGCGAAGGCGGGUCUCUGGGCCGAUACUGACGCUGAUGCACGAAAGCCAGGGGAGCGAACGGG